AACGGGCCCCGCGGAGCAGCCGCCCCGGGACCGUGGGGCCCAGCGCACCCCAGCGGCCGGAGCAGGCUGUCCCCGCCGCGGGCCGGGCCGGGCCGGGCGAGCUACGUGCGGCUGCUGCUGCUGCAGAUCACUGGGAUGGCGAAGGAGUAACUCAGGGAGGUACAACUCUCUAGUGCCAGUUCCACAGCCAGUUGGAACCGCCAUGUGCCUCUGUGCUGCACACAACAGACUUAGAGUGCUUCACAGCUGUGGCUGGGGCAGAAUCCCCAUCACCUGCACCAAAGCACAGGGCCCCGAUGCCUGAGCUAAUGGAGAAUCUCUGCUAUCUGUUAGCAGUGCAGGGCCCAUGACAGCCAGGGAACUAUGAGAGGUACAUGCAUAUACACACCAGGCUGUUCAUUACACACUUGCCUAUAUAGACAAAGCUUGCCUCAGAACCAGCUGUUCAAAUCUUCCUUUUGACAUCAACAUAAGAAAUCUCUGUGCACCAAGUGCUUCCAUCCCGUAACUUCCAGUCUUUGCGUGGGCUUGUCUGAGAUGGUUGGGACAUUGUAUAAAAAGAAAGACGACCCUGUUUACACUAAGGGCAGAAAAGGUGAAAUAUUGAAACCUGCGCAUCCCAUGACAGGCACCCUGGCACUACUCCACAGCUGCUGAGCACGUCUGUCACUGCUGCAGAGGAAGCUUGCAGCGCCAUGGCUCAGUGAGUCCAUAGAGCAGGGAGGCACAUCUGUCACUGCUGCAGGGGAAGCUCACAGCAGAAUCCUUUCAGUGCUACCAGAGAGCCACUGACCACUUCUGCAGAGGAAAUUUGCAGUGCUAUGUGCUUCAGCACUACCAUGGAGCUGCAGGCAGCUGUGCAACUGCUAUGGAGGAAACUCGCAGUGCUGGGUGUAUAAAACACUCUGUAAAAUCUGCCUGUAUUUUUGGCAAUGACAAUUCAAAAGCUUUGGAAGCAUCUUCUCUAGGCUGUGAAAGCAGGUUUUGCCGGCUAAGGACAUGACGUCAGUAAUGUUGGGAGAAAAGGCAACAAUAAUUUGACCUUCUUCCUUUAUUAAUAAUGGGCCUUUUCACAGAACACAAAAGAACAUUAGAAAACAUCAAACCAGUCAAGGCUAGAACAAGAUGUAGCCACUUCUUUGCUCUGCCGUUAGAUGAGUGCCUGGGGUGCAGAAUGUUGCCAAGUGGUUGACGUAUGUAAGGUAUGAGUGUGACAGUGCAGUCGAUUUCUUAUUGUGGAAUCUUUGCCACUUGAAUCUCUGCAGAUGUUUAAAUCUUUGAAAACAGUCUGUUGAGAAGCGUGGCAUUGAUUGGGCGUGCUGUGCCAGAGCCCCUGACAGUCAUUGCUUGAGCGCAAGGGAUACUCUGCAUUGGUUGCCAUCAAAACCAAAUAAAGAUAUAAGCCAACCACACCUAUGGUUCAAACUGUUAUAGGGUGACCAGACGUCUUGAUAAAAUUGAGACUGUCCCGAUUUUGAGGAGUUUGUCCCGCGUCCCGACCAGAGUACGGUUGGGAUGCCAU